UGGACUACCAUGGCAGUCACGGGUAACGGAGAAUUAGGGUUCGAUUCCGGAGAGGGAGCCUGAGAAACGGCUACCACAUCUACGGAAGGCAGCAGGAGCGAAAAUUGCCCAAUCCCGACACGGGGAGGCAGUGACGAAAAAUAACAACUCUUGGUUAUUCUAAGAAGUGUAAUGAGGAUAAUUUAAAACCCUUACCGAAAGCAAUUGGAGGGCAAGUCUGGUGCCAGCAGCCGCGGUAAUUCCAGCUCCAAUAGCGUAUAUUAAAGUUGUUGCAGUUAAAAAGCUCGUAGUUGAAGUUCUGGCUGCUUGACCCUCGAGCUCUGUAGCCGAGGGCUCAGCAGUCAUCCGCUUGCAAAUAUAUGUUCGCCUUUAACCGGGCGGCUAUAUGAGUAAGCAUUUUACCUUGAGAAAAACAGAGUGUUCCAGGCAGGUUUGUCCGGAAUGCAUUAGCAUGGAAUAAUAGGACAUGACUGAAGUCGAUUUAUUGGUUUGAGGCUUUAGUAAUGAUUAAUAGGAACAGUCGGGGGCAUUGGUACUUGUCAGUCAGAGGUGAAAUUCUAGGAUUUGACAAAGACUAACAAAUGCGAAAGCAUUUGCCAAGGAUGUUUUCAUUAAUCAAGAACGAAAGUUAGGGGAUCAAAGACGAUCAGAUACCGUCCUAGUCUUAACUAUAAACUAUACCGACUCGGAUUCAGAUGAAUCAUAAAGUUCAUUUGGGACCGUAGGAGAAAUCAAAGUUUUUGGGUUCUGGGGGAAGUAUGGUCGCAAGGCCGAAACUUAAAGGGAUUGACGGUUUUGCACCACCAUGGAGUGGAGUCUGCGGCUUAAUUUGACCCAACACUGGGAAACUCAUCAGGGCAAGAAGAUUGUAGGAUCGACAGAUUGAGAGUUCUUUCUUGAUUGGUCUAGUGGUGGUGCAUGGCCGUUCUUAGUUGGUGGAGUGAUUUGUCUGGUUAAUUCCGUUAACGAACGAGACCUUAACCUGCUAACUAGUACACCGAUGACAAAUCGGUGAUACUUCUUAGAGGGACUAUGUGAUGUAAUCACAUGGAAGUUUGAGGCAAUAACAGGUCUGUGAUGCCCUUAGAUGUCCUGAGCUGCACGCGUACUACAAUGGUGCUUUCAUCGAGCUUUUCCUGAUCCGAAAGGAUUUGAGUAAUCUUUUUAGUGAGCACCGUGCUUGGGAUAGAUCUUUGUAAUUAUGGAUCUUGAACUAGGAAUUCCU
rnacentral:rRNA from 1 species